UACGUAGGGGGCGAGCGUUGUCCGAAGUUACUGGGCGUAAAGCGCGCGUAGGCGGUCCUUUAAGUCCGGGGUGAAAGGUUCAGCGCUCAACGUGAACAGUGCCCUGGAGACUGGGGGACUUGAGUGUGGGAGGGGGCAGUGGAAUUCCUGGUGUAGCGGUGAAAUGCGCAGAUAUCAGGAAGAACACCCGUGGCGAAGGCGGCUCUCUGGGACGGUACUGACGCUGAGACGCGAAAGCGUGGGGAGCGAACAGG
rnacentral:rRNA from 1 species